rnacentral:tRNA from 1 species
UCUUCGGUGGCCUAACUGUGAGGACGCUCGCCCGGAAAGCAAGAGAUCCAGGUUUGAUUCCUGGACGAGGAA